rnacentral:tRNA from 1 species
AUUAAAUGGCUGAAGAAUAGGCGAUAGAUUGUAAAUCUAUUUAUAAGAAUAAAUUCUUUUUAAUCA